GUGGAGGACAUGGUCCGGAUGCGCGAGCCGGAUUGGAAGUGUGUGUACACAUACAUUCAGGAAUUCUAUCGCUGCCUGGUCCAGAAGGGGCUGGUAAAAACCAAAAAGUCGUAGCCCAUUUUCACCCCCCGGGAGCGAUGGAUGCUGGCAGACUGCGUGCCCCUGGUGGAGGUGGAAGACAUGAUGAUCAUGGGGAAGAAGCCAGACCCCAAGUGCGUCUUCCACCUAUGUGCAGUCCCUCUACAACCACCUGCGUCGCCACGAGUUGCGCAUGCGGCAGAAAGAGUGCUAGAGCCUGCCCUGGCCUGCAGCUGCCCGACACCUCACUGCCCCCUCCCCGCAGGGACGCUGGUGUGCGGAGGAGCUGCUGCUCCGCUCCAAGGCUGGCGGGAGGGCCUGGGAGAGGCUGCGGGGCUGGUCCUGGGGAAAAGAGGGGGGGGGGGAUCCAUCACUUGGGUCACCCCCUGCUUCGCCUCGCUGGAGCUCCUCGGUCGGCCUCUGCCCGGCUGAAGGCGUGGGCAGGGCAGGACAGUGCCAGGCGGGUGCUGCCCAGGAUGCCACCCUCCCUGCAGCCAGCUUGGUUCUCCUCCUCCUACCCACCCCCCCGCCAUGCUCUAGCGUAUUAAGUUAUUCAUUUUCAAAGGAAUUGUUUGUAGGUGGGCAGUGCCCCUGUUUCCCCAGGGAGGCUGGGGCAUGGUGGUGCCCUCGGGCCCUGAGCCAGCGUGGGUCCACGUAAGCGCAGCUCAGCCCGCGGACCCCCCUCCAAGAACCGGGGCCCUGGUGGGCACUGCUGGUUUUGGUACCUCCAUGAGGCAGAGCGCCUUGGUCUCCAGGCAGCCCGAGAGCGGUUUUCCUGGCCCCCCCCUGCAAGGAAGCCAGCCUCUCUGCCCACCACAGUCCCUGCUUGGUGCCACCUCUCCGGGAUGGCCCCAUGCUGACACCCUGCUUCCCACUGCACUCACGUGCCCAGGGCACUUCCACGGCAGGGACCUGCAGCACCCACGUGCUGGGGAGCUGGAGGGGAGCAGGGAGGGCGUGAGGGGCCAGGGCCAGGGUCUAGGCAGCCCCCGUGCUCCUCCCCAGCUCUGGGCACGUUGUGCUCAGUGCCACUCACCCCUUCAUCACCGUCUACACCUGCGUUGACACGUGUACCAACACCAGCCAGACAAUAAAGGUUUAUUCUAUAGGGCAA